AUCCCGGGCCCGGGUUCGGUGGCCCCUGGCCGGCUCCGUCCGCCUGGGAGGGCCGUGUGCGGGCGGCGCGCUGCUCCGGCCCCCGGAGGGGGACAAGCUCACGGAGCAGGCACCCACAGCGCAGGUGACAGACACCCGGCACUGUUCCUCCGGCACCUGGUCCACGCCGUGCCCCCUGCGUCCCUGGGGCCCCACGGCCAUCCUCAGGCAGGGACCCCUCUCCCCGGGUUCAAGGGCCGGCCAAGUCCCCACGGGACCCUGCCCCAGGAGAGCCCUGCACCUGCCUGCUCGCGGGCCGCAGGGUUGGUGGGCUCCCCGCGGCGGGACGCGCGGGCUGCACGCGGAGAAGGGGACAUCCCCGCCGAGCCGGCCAUCCCGGGGCCCCUGGACUAAGGGGUGCCGUCGGGCGAGCUGCGCUGGCGGGGCACCCGAGGCACUCCGGUGUCAUCAUACCUCAAUGGGACACCAAGGUUUCUCUGUCAAAAAUGUUCCUGCAACGGACUCUGUUUUCCUUCUACGGAUUAAAAAAUUGACCUUCAGAGUGCAUUGAGUGGCUUGCAUGAAGAGCACAGCAAACCCCAAGGGGGCGCCAGGGGCAGGCUGCCCAACCGUGGCCUUGAUCUU